GUGGGGAGGGUGUAACCCAUAUUUGAGUAUGGCUUAACUAGAAUACACCAGAAUAAAAGAAUCAUUAAUCUAAGCAGCACACUUCAUUUGUAAUGAAUAAACCAUAGGUGCAGCAGUUAAGGAGUUAACUGCUCUGGUUUAGACACGUGUUACUCUAGGCCAAUGAGCUGCUGAAACGUGGUACAGGCUCCGCCUGCCGCCCCUGCCUAGGAGGACACAGAUUUUUCUUUUCUCUCUUCCGCUCGCGAACUUUCCAUGAGCAAGCUAGUGAGGAAACGAGACACAGCGAUUUACUGAGACGAGGUAUGAAAAAGAGUAAUAUAGACGGAGAGCUAGCACUCGCCGUUUACGAAAGAUUGUUUUACUGUAUGUAUAUUGCUAAGACGAGUAAUUAGCUGGUUCUUUUUACAUUGCUUAGUCGAGAAAGGUCGGGAGUUAGAGACGAUGCCAUUUCAUCGGUCGUGCGCCAUCUCGCGCUGCUCCGUCUUUCUAAUUCUGAGAUCGGUCAGGUUUUUUUCUUUUGUUUGGUUUUGGGGUUUUUUUUGUUUCUUUGGUUUGUAUCUUCCUGGUGCAUUCCAACGGAUCCUGAAAUUGAUGGCGAGCCAACCCCGUUGAAGGACCAAAUGACUUUGUUCUGUCCUGCACAUCAGAGUGUGGUAGGCCAGAUGCAACAAAACAGAGACACACCACGCCAUUUUGUACUCGUAGUCCCCCUUUUUCACACACAUCCCCCUGGACUCACGGGCGGGUGGUUUUAAGGACACGUUUUACGGACUCUGUACAUUCCAUGAGUGUGGACAAAAGUGAGUGUGAGCGGUCAGAAAUAACCCUCCAGCUGAUUAACUGUUGCUAUUUGUAAACGAAGUCUGUGAAAAUGCAAAUAAGUGUUAACAUUUAUAUGCUGAUGAUUGACAUUGUGGUUCAUUGUUGGAUGUGAACUGUACCUCUAGAAAGGGUGCACCCAGGUAAGAUUUCUUUUUUUUUUUCCAUCGAGUGAUCACUGUGAUUUUGCCAAAAGGUAUUAUUAAGAGAGUACCGGUACCGAAAGGGAAUAAUUUCAUUUGUAAGUGUUUUGUGUGUUUGUCAUAAUGUCCUGUUAUUUCUAAUUGAAAAGAAAAAUACAAUUCCGGCUAUUUUUCAAAACUCGCGGUUGUCUGAGUCUCAUUCAGUUCGCCUCUCCUGUACGUAGCCGAACCUACUGGUCCAAAUCUGUGAGCUCUUCGGUGUCAAAUUUGGGUGACAUACUCUUGUUCUGAUCUGGGAGUAUUUGAAACACGCACAUGAGUGCUACAAAGGACAUUAGGAACAAGGACAUUUAAGGAAUGUGGAAGUUAACGUUCUGCAUACUUGUGUGCAGACUGUUUUUUUUAUUUUGAGGGACAAUUCCAUGUGUGCCAAGUGAGGAGCUGAUAUCGUGGAUCUAAGACACUGUUGCUGCUGCGGAGGCCUUCUGUGUGUCAGCACCAGAGGUGGGUAGUAACGAGUUACAUUUACUCCGUUACAUUUACUUGAGUAAGUUUUUGAAAAAAAUGUAUUUUUAAAGUACCUUUUUUGCACAAUGCUUUUUACUUUUACUUGAGCACAUUUGUGAAGAAGAAACGGUACUUUUACUCCGCUACAUUUGCAAAAUUCUAC
ensembl:lncRNA